rnacentral:lncRNA from 1 species
AAUUUUGGAGACGCGGUGAUUUUUCUCGUGGUUCCGAUAGGUGGUGCUAUCGUACUUCCACGUUGAUGGAGACUUCAACCCACGGAGGGUAACGGCUGCGAGAGUCCACGGAGGGCUCCACCCAUGAAGGGUCCACGAAGAAGCAACCUUGUCUAUUCCAUCAUGGCCUACGCCCACGGAGGGCUAGCCUUACUCGGGGUAGAUCUUCACGAAGUAGGCGAUCUCCUUGCCCUUACAAACUUCUUGGUUCAACUCCACAUCUCGACGGAGGCUCCCAAGCGACACCUAACCAAUCUAGGAGGCACCACCCUCCAAAAGGUAAUAGAUGUUGUAGAUGAUGAUGAACUCCUUGCUCUUGUGCUUCAAAUGAUAAUCUCCCCAACACUCAACUCUCCUCACUGAUUUGGCUGUGGUGGAAGAAAGGAUUGAGUGGAAAGCAACUUGGGAAGGCUAGAGAUCAAGCUUCAUAUGGUGGGAGUGGAGCAACUUGAUCUCAACACAAGGGUAGGUAGUUCUCUUCUCAGAAAUGUAAGGUAGGAGUGGUAGUUCUUUCUGAUGGCUCUCUCCACGAAUGAAGAGGGGGUGGAGGGGUAUAAAUAGCCUCCACACAAAAUCCAACCAUUACACACAUUUGAGCAAUCUCGGUGGGACCGAAGUUGACAACUCGGUGAGACCGAUAGUUCAAAUAAUGUGAACGUUGGGAUUUUCGGUGGGACCGAAAAUACAAUCUCGGUUAGUCCGAUUCGUGCAAUGACAAGAGCAUGCCAAUUUCGGUGGGACCGACUUCAUCAUCUCGGUGACACCGAUUUGAUGACAGAAGGUUACAGAAGCUUGGCAACUCAUUUUUCGGUGAGACCGAGUUCAGAAUCGGAAAAUCCGAGUUUGCUAGGGUUUGGCUUUAUGGCUGAGGUGGUUCAUCUCGGUGUGACUGAGUUUGGAAUAUCGGUGGGACCGAGACUACUUAUGAGUGUAUAUGGCAGUGAAAGUUGCUGAUAGUUUAGGAGAUGUAUCACUAAGCACUUGAGCAACCAGAUCAUCAUCAUAACCUCAUCCCCUUCUAAUAGUAUUGGCUUUUCCUAUGGACUCAAUGUGAUCUUGGAUCACUAAACCAAAAAUGGAGUCUUGAGCUUUUGCCAAUGCUUGCCUUAGCAUUUUGAGGGGUCCACUUCUUCAGUCCUUGCCAUACCCAUAUCACUGAACUCUCUGAAAUGAUUCUCAAGUAACUAUUAGUUCAAUGAUAUAUAUGUUGUUAUUAAUUACCAAAACCACCCGGGGAUUAGUUGCACUUUCAAUCUCCCCCUUUUUGGUAAUUGAUGACAACAUAUAGAUCAAAGCUUCGACAAAGGAUAUAAUCAAUGAAUAAUAUCGUCGCUUUGAGAAGUAUGUGAUAAGCAAGAGCUCCCCCUAAAUUUGUGCAUUAUUUAAGAUUUGCGUUUGAAUGCAAAUGCACAAUCGAUUAGGAUCAUGGGUCACUCUUCCAUAUCACAUACAUCUUGGUGGAGCGCACAAAAUGAUAAGAAUGAACAGCAUGCACCCAAUCACCAAGACAUGAGUAAAUGGUCAUACGAGAUAGGAAUGGCAUAUGAUAAUCAUUAAGCACACAUUAAAACAUAGUACGACCAAGCACUCAUUAAGGUAGAAUCAAACGUAGUAUCAAACACACUGAAUGUCUCGAAAACCAAAAGUAUCUCAAAGAAACCGCAAAAGAACGAAAGAGCAAAAGCGACAACAGCACUCUCUCUCUCGAAGUCCUAUGAUCUAUACAAUUUCUCACCCUUUGGCAACAAGUUACCAAAAAGUUCGAAAAAGCAUAGAGCUAAGCGUCACUGGGGACUCUGCUGGCGGCUCCCGUCUGGGUUGAUGUUGGAGUGGAUAUGACAGCAUCGGCGAAGACUUCAGCUGAUGUCUGUGCUGGAGGAGUGGUCACUGGAGUUGGAGUUGGAGUAACUGCUGGAACUGUGGGAGGUGCUGAAGCUGUAGUCCUGGUGUCUGUCACUGGAAUAGCAGCUGAUCGGGGUCCUGUGGGAACCGGAGCAGUCUGCUGAUAAGCAUCCUGGACUAAGUCAUCCUGCAUCUCACGCAUGAGCUCUUCCUUCUCCCGCUUUUCUUCCUCAAUGUCUGCCUCGAGCUUGUUGACAGUCACUCGCAUUUCAGUCAGCUUCACGUCCAGAGCGUGGAUCUUGUCCUCAACAAUCCUCUCUAGGCUCUCCUGAGACUGUACAAUGCUGGCCAGGCGUUGUUCAAUCCUUUGGGUAGCUUCAAGAAUCUUCUCUCCGAAACUCUUUGGUUUAGCUGCUGCUGCUGCUGCUUCCUUGUCAGCUUUGGCUUUCUUAGCAGCUUCGAUCUUGGAUUGACCUUCAACAGAUGUUGGAUCCUCCUCAUCCAUCACAACAACAUUGUCUUCAUGCUCUGGCUGCAACGGUAAAUGUUCUCUAUCCAACAAGAAUGUGCCCGUGCCAAACUUGGCAUUGAUAAGCAUCUGAAUCUGCGGGGCAAAUCCACACGACCAUUUCUGGUCAGCUGCAGUCCUCUUAAUGGUCUCUACCAUCAAGUCCAUCACCUUGAAAGGUGCUUUCUCAUCAAGUAGGUGCAGCAUGUUGAUAGAGUAUCCUCUGAUCAUGCGAUGAUCUCCAGACUUGGGCAUCAAGGUAUGCCUCAAAAUGGUAUUAGUGGUAGGUAAGCCUGCCUGGAGAUAGUAGACUGAGCCGAGCUUCCAAAUUCCCAAGUCCUUUGCUGGAACCUCUUUGUACAUGUUCUUCAUGGAUUCAUGAUUCUUCUUUGGAAUCCCAUAUACAUCAAUAUCAUCUUCUCGUUGCAUUGGAGCAUUCAGAAUUUCUGCCCAUUCUUCAACAGUAGAAGAAAAUCUUUGACCUUCAGUCAUCCACGUAAUCUUCCCAUCAGGGUAGAAGUGAGCUGUGGCAUAGAAUUGCAUUAUCAUCUCAUCGUUCCAACUGGUCAAUUUCUGACCAACAAAAUCUGCAACACCACAUGCAGUGAAACUUUCAUGCACAUGUGGAAAGAAAUCUCUGUGCUCUUCGCUUUCAAUGUACUUCCAGUCAACAUAUCUUGUGUCUGCGACUAUGGGCUUCUUGUCCAUCAGCACGGUCUCAUAGAAGUCCUGCUGCUCUCUGUUGUGAAAUCUGGGAUCUACAGCAGUUCUUCUCCUCACGGCAUAUGGGUCAGUUUGUCUCCAUAGCCUGAGACCUCUAUCUUUCAUUGCCUUCAUAUCCUCAGCUUGAGGAUGAGCAUCAUCAUGGACUGGCAGUUUUGGACGAAGUUUCAGCAAAACUGGUCCUUCAUCAUCUGACACAGCUGGUGGCACAUCAUCCUUGUUCUUUUCAGACGCUGGAAUGUUUCUGACGGUCUUCUUGGGCUUGGCAGCAGGCUUUGCUGGAGCUGCCUUAGCUGGAGCAGAUUUCUUGGGCUUUGAUGUGGCUCCAACCUUAAUGGCAUCACCCAUGAACAUAGGCUUCUGAGGAGGAGGCUGGGGUGCUCCCUCAUCCUCAUCUUCUUCUGCUGCAUCAUGCACUAUCCUCUUUCUCUUGGACGUUUUCUUCACUUUGCUUGCAGCUGCCUCUCCCAAAUUCAGCUUCUGAGCAACAGUUGACUGCUUGACUUUGCUGGUGCCCUUCUUAGUUUGUUGACCUUGUUUCUCUUUGGCAACAACCUUCCUUUUGGGCUUUGAGGUCACCUCUUCCUCAACGACAAAAUCUGAAUCUUCAUCAUCUGAAUUCCUCUUCUUUCUAGCUCUGGUGGCUGCAGGAGGCAAGCCACUUGGUGUACUCCUCUCACCAUCAUCAGAUGAGCUGCUAGGAUCAGGACUAGUGCCUGCCUCUGGAAUAUCUGCAAUGGGUGUCUCUGACCUGUUCUGACUGUCACUGGCAUCUGACAUGGCUGACAACCUGUGAAUAGAUAAGGUGUAGGCAGAGAAGAAGAGUCAUCACAAAAUGCAGAAGUUUUUGCAAAAAAUAUGAGUUCAAAUUCUAGUAUUAGGUUUUCACAUAAGACAUUUCGGUCAAACCGAGUUUAAGAUUCGGUGAAUCCGAAGUGUUAAACAGGAGCUGGCACACCACUUUCGGUUUGACCGAAGUGGGUUUCGGUCCUGCCGAAAACACUAGGGUUUCAUAGAAUUUUCAUUUCGGUCACACCGAUUUUGCACAACUCGGUUGGACCGAAAGGUGCAGUGCAAUGGCCAUAGGCCAAAUCGGUCAUACCGAAAUUAUAAAAUCGGUCUCACCGAGAUGUGUUCGGCGGAAACCUAACCCUAAAACUUUUACUCGAAUCUAGUCCAAACGAACUAAUCUGGUGUACAGGAGGAUUUCAAUCGUGGCAAGAUUCUAGGCAAUCCAAACGUGCAUUGAAUCGGAGCUGGGAGCACGAGUGGGAUCAAAACUCACCCUAACUUGGUGGAGUUUUUCUACGGCGGCAACGGCGCGGAGGAGAUGUCCGUUGACGGCGACGGAGACCUGCGGCGAGGGCGCACAGGCGACGAUGGCGAUGAUCCGGAGACCAAGGCGACGGCAGCAAGGGGUGUGGGGGCGAAACGUUUGAACGAGGAAUCAACACGCGUGGCCCUCGGAGUAUAUAUACCCCUUUGCUGUCGGUGGGACCGAGUUGUAAAACUCGGUGGCACCGAGAUGGAUAACUGCUAGGCAGUUAUGCACUUCGGUCAUGCCAAAAAUCACAACUCGGUUUCACCGAGGUGAAAACCUAGAUCAGUCCAAAUGCUUUCGGUUCGACCGAGUUUGAGUGAGUUGGUCUGACCGAAAUCAAUUAGAAGGUUUUGGAAGUUAGCCUUUGACGGAUCGGUGGCUCCGAGUGCUCCUCACCCGGAGGGUCCGAAAAUGACUUGUUCAAAAUUUGUGAUGUAAGCAUGAAUAGAAUUUGAGACAAGAAAGCAUAGAUAGCUAGGGGAGGUACUUAGGAUUCUUGUCCAUCCAUUUGGUCAGAAAAAUCAAAACGACCAAAGCAACAAAUGGAUGUCCUCGAAUGGAUAAAAUCAUGCAUCCAACAUGCUCCCACAAUAAGAUAGCAAAUGAAAUAUGUGUCAAACAUGCACAACCAAAACUCUAGGUACUAUCACACAAUUUGUCGAUGACUAGGUCAUCUUUAUAUGAGUAUAUUGACUUAGGAGCCAAAUGAGAACAUUUGAUCAUAGGUCAUACUCAUCGUUUAAGCACAAGUGGGGUUACCACUUUUACAUAAAGCAUUGAUGUGUUCACAUCAUUUGAAGAUGCCUUAGCUCAAUUUUUAGAGCAAAGCUCCCCCUAGAUGUGAGAACCCCUUUUAAAGGGUCAAACUAACCUUGGCAUGUCUUAGAAGACUUCAUGUAGAUGUUGAAGAUGUGGAUGCUCAAUGUUGAUGUAGAUCAUCAAGAGUUGAGAGCUAUCCCUUGGAUUCGGGCACUUUCAAUACCUACAUGGGUUAGUCCCACAAGGAACAAACAAGGAUAUCCAUGGACAUAGAUUGAAGUUCACAAUAGAUGAUGUCCAUGAAAGCAAUGAUUACCUUGUCCCUUGACUUACCAACAAGAGGGUUUGUGACUCCAUGAACUAGUGCACGAUGUGGAAGUUGAUUGCACAAGUUUUUGCCAAAAUGAAUGUGAGUGAAGUAUGUUGGCGGAGUCACCCUCAAGAACUUUCUAGUUCUUCUUCUUCGGGAUCCACAUCAUCUUGAUGGGAAUCCUUGGGGUUGUAGUUGAGCUUGACGAAGUAGAACUUGACGUUUCCUUGGGAACCCACUUGACCAUGGCUUGAGGUGCUUCAACAAAUGCAUCAAUCUCCUCUUGAAGCUUGUCCUUGCCUUUUAGCUUGUGGUCUUGUGGUGGAAGGUCAUCUUGAGCUUGUUCCACCUUGGAAGAAGUAGGAUCAUACUUCUCCUUUUGAGGAACAAACUGUGGAGUAGGAUAUUGACCUUCUUCCCAUUCAACACCUUCGGCGUUGAACUUUCGCUCAAAACCAAUUCCUUGAUUCUUCCGGUGCCUUCCUUGCUUGCGAACAAUUUCCUCAAAGUUCUUGCUUCCGGCAAGGCUCUUGUAGACACCUUUCUCUAUGAUCCCUUUCAAUAAACUAUUUUCUUGCUCAAGUGUAACUUGGCUUGAAACAUGGUUAGUGGAAUCAAGAGAACUACUAGAAGCAACAACAUUGGAUUUAGCAUGGUUAUUGUUACUACUAGAAAAGGAAUUUUUCUUAUGCUUGUCAUGCUUAGUCUUAAUGGGUGGCAAGAAAUUAGACAAGAGAAGUCAUUUGGCAAGAUAUGAAGAACUAUUCUUUCGAAGAUCGUCAUUGAUUGCUUUUAGAAACUCAUGUUCUUGCUCUAGAGUGAGCUUCUCGAAGCGUAGCUUCUCAUGCGAUCUUAGGAGCUCUCUAUGAUCUUCUUGAGUUGUUUCAUGAGCUAACUUAAGAGUUUUUAGUUCUUUAGUUAGACGCUCAAUCUCCUUCAUAGCAUUGUCAUUCGACUCUUCUCGACUAUAAAGACUACUAGCAUGUUCAUCGUUACUAGGUUCAUUGGAUUUAUCAAGUAAGAGCUCAUCUUCACCAAGCAAGUCAUCCUCAUCACUAUCGAAGUCAAUGAAUUUAGGGUGUGAUACCUUGGGGCCUUUAGCCAUGAAGCAUCUUCCAAUUCCCUCAUUUGGUGAAUCAAAUAAGUCGUAGGAAUUGGAGUUGGAGGAUACGAGAGCAAGACCGGCAACACCUUCAUCUUGACUGUAGUCGGAGUUGGAGUGAUAGCUUCCUUCGGAUUGAUUGUCGGAGUCGGAGCCGGAGACCCAUUCACCUACAUGAGCUUGAUGUUUUCUUCUUGUGUAGCUCCUUGAUGACUUGUCUUUCCUCUCCGAAUCCUUGCUUCUCUGAGAGGGUCUUCGUUCAUAACGAUCAUCUCUGCUCCUUCUCUCUUUCCGAGGUGACUCAUAUCUUGAGCUUCUUCUUCUUGGAGAUUCUUCUCUUCUCUUGUGGGGAGCCGUACACUCAUUUGAGUAGUGUUCGGGUCUUCCACAAUUGUAGCAGUUUCGAUCACGACUAGAAGAUCUCUUUUCAUCAUAUGAUCUAGACUUUGAGCUUCUCUCUUUGCCUCUAUUCUUGUAGAAUUUGUUGAAGUUCUUGACCAUUAGGCUUAUCUCUUCAUUGGAAACUAACUUGUCACUUGAGGUUGUGGGAGCAUCACUUGUAGCUUUGUAAGCACCACUUGACUUGUUGUGAAGCUCUUCCUUAUCCUUAAGUGUCAUCUCAUGAGCAACAAUUCUUCCAAUGACUUCGGUUGGCUUGAGAUUCUUGUAGUUUGGCAUCAUUUGGAUCAAAGUGCACACGGUGUCAUACUUUCCAUCCAAAGCUCUGAGAAUCUUCUUGAUGAUGAAUCGGUCGGUCAUUUCUUCGCUUUCUAAGCCGGCAAUUUCAUUUGUGAUGAGAGCAAGCCUAGAGUACAUUUCAGCGACUCCUUCACCAUCCUUCAUCUUGAACUUGUCAAGUUGACCUUGAAGAAUAUCUAGCUUUGACUCCUUCACGGACUCGGUACCUUCGUGCAUUUCAACCAAAGUAUCCCAAAUCUCUUUUGCAUUCUCAAGACGGCUGAUUUUGUUGAACUCCUCGGGACACAAGGCAUUGAAGAGAAUGUCACAAGCUUGAGCAUUGUUUUGCAACAUCCGCAAUUCUUCCGUUGUAGCUUCGCUAUCCGGAACUUUUCCUUCCUCGAAGAAUUCACCUUGCAUACCAACACAAAUAAUGCCCCAUGCGGCUGGGUUAUGACCAAGAAUAUGCAUUUUCAUUUUAUGCUUCCAACUAGCAAAAUUUGUACCAUCAAAGUAAGGACCUCUACGAAAAUUACCCUCACUAGACGCCAUACUCUCCUAGGUUGUGAAACCAAGCUUAUGGAGUCCAAUGCAAUGGAAACCAAUACAAUGGAGACCAAAGCUCUGAUACCACUUGUAGGAUCGAAAGUAUGUCUAGAGGGGGGGUGAUUAGACUACUUGACAAUAUAAAAAUUCUGCCUUUUGACAAAGAACAGUUUUUGGCAGAUUCACAAUUAUGAGCAAGUCAAGCAUCACCCUACACAUGCAAUUCUAGAGUAUAGGCAGCGGAAAGUAAAUUGCACAUGUAGUAAAGAGAGGUGGAGAAGAGCAAACGCAAUUUUGGAGACGCGGUGAUUUUUCUCGUGGUUCCGAUAGGUGGUGCUAUCGUACUUCCACGUUGAUGGAGACUUCAACCCACGAAAGGUAACGGCUGCGAGAGUCCCAGGAGGGCUCCACCCAUGAAGGGUCCACGAAGAAGCAACCUUGUCUAUUCCAUCAUGGCCUACGCCCACGGAGGGCUAGCCUUACUCGGCGUAGAUCUUCACGAAGUAGGCGAUCUCCUUGCCCUUACAAACUUCUUGGUUCAACUCCACAUCUCGACGGAGGCUCCCAAGCGACACCUAACCAAUCUAGGAGGCACCACCCUCCAAAAGGUAAUAGAUGUUGUAGAUGAUGAUGAACUCCUUGCUCUUGUGCUUCAAAUGAUAAUCUCCCCAACACUCAACUCUCCUCACUGAUUUGGCUGUGGUGGAAGAAAGGAUUGAGUGGAAAGCAACUUGGGAAGGCUAGAGAUCAAGCUUCAUAUGGUGGGAGUGGAGCAACUUGAUCUCAACACAAGGGUAGGUAGUUCUCUUCUCAGAAAUGUAAGGUAGGAGUGGUAGUUCUUUCUGAUGGCUCUCUCCACGAAUGAAGAGGGGGUGGAGGGGUAUAAAUAGCCUCCACACAAAAUCCAACCGUUACACACAUUUGAGCAAUCUCGGUGGGACCGAAGUUGACAACUCGGUGAGACCGAUAGUUCAAAUAAUGUGAACGUUGGGAUUUUCGGUGGGACCGAAAAUACAAUCUCGGUUAGUCCGAUU